GACGGGGGAUGCAAGUGUAUCCGGAAUCACUGGGCGUAAAGCGUCUGCAGGUGGUUUCCUAAGUCCACUGUUAAACCUUGAGGCUCAACCUCAAAUCUGCAUUGGAAACUAGGAGACUUGAGUAUAGUAGGGGUAGAGGGAAUUUCCAGUGGAGCGGUGAAAUGCGUAGAUAUUGGAAAGAACACCGAUGGCGAAGGCACUCUACUGGGCUAUUACUGACACUCAGAGACGAAAGCUAGGGGAGCAAAUGGG
rnacentral:rRNA from 1 species